CCUACGGGAGGCAGCAGUGAGGAAUAUUGGUCAAUGGCCGUAAGGCUGAACCAGCCAAGUCGCGUGAAGGAAGAAGGAUCUAUGGUUUGUAAACUUCUUUUAUAGGGGAAUAAAGGUAUCCACGUGUGGAUAUUUGCAUGUACCCUAUGAAUAAGCAUCGGCUAACUCCGUGCCAGCAGCCGCGGUAAUACGGAGGAUGCGAGCGUUAUCCGGAUUUAUUGGGUUUAAAGGGUGCGUAGGUUGUUUUUUAAGUCAGCUGUGAAAGUUUGCGGCUCAACCGUAAAAUUGCAAUUGAUACUGGCAGCCUUGAGUACGUUUGAGGUAGGCGGAAUGCGUGGUGUAGCGGUGAAAUGCAUAGAUAUCACGAAGAACUCCGAUUGCGAAGGCAGCCUACUAAGCCACCACUGACAUUGAUGCACGAAAGUGUGGGUAUCAAACAGGAUUAGAUACCCUUGUAGUC
rnacentral:rRNA from 1 species